UACGUAGGGGGCUAGCGUUGUCCGGAAUCAUUGGGCGUAAAGCGCGUGUAGGCGGUCCGGUAAGUCCGCUGUGAAAGUCGAGGGCUCAACCCUCGAAUGCCGGUGGAUACUGUCGGGCUCGAGUGCGGAAGAGGCGAGUGGAAUUCCUGGUGUAGCGGUGAAAUGCGCAGAUAUCAGGAGGAACACCGAUUGCGAAGGCAGCUCGCUGGGACGUUACUGACGCUGAGACGCGAAAGCGUGGGGAGCAAACAGG
rnacentral:rRNA from 1 species